rnacentral:rRNA from 1 species
UGCAAGUCGAACGAGAAAGGGAUUGCUUGCAAUCCUGAGUAGAGUGGCGCACGGGUGAGUAACACGUAGAUAAUCUACCUUCAAGCCUGGGAUAACUAUUCGAAAGGAUAGCUAAUACCGGAUAAAGCUAAUUUACAUAAGUUUAUUAAUGAAAGAUUGCCUCUUCUCGAAAGCAAUUGUUUGGGGAUGAGUCUGCGGACCAUUAGCUUGUUGGUGGGGUAACGGCCUACCAAGGCAGCGAUGGUUAGCUGGUCUGAGAGGAUGAUCAGUCACACUGGAACUGGAACACGGUCCAGACUCCUACGGGAGGCAGCAGUGAGGAAUUUUGCGCAAUGGGGGAAACCCUGACGCAGCAACGCCGCGUGAGUGAAGAAGGCCUUUGGGUCGUAAAGCUCUGUCAACAAGGAAGAAAUUAUUAUCAUUUAAUAGAUGUUAAUAUUGACGGUACUUGUGGAGGAAGCGCCGGCUAACUCCGUGCCAGCAGCCGCGGUAACACGGGGGGCGCAAGCGUUAUUCGGAAUUAUUGGGCGUAAAGGGCGCGCAGGCGGUCUUGUCAGUCAGGUGUGAAAGCCCGGGGCUCAACCCUGGAAGAGCACUUGAAACAGCAAGACUUGAAUACGGGAGAGGAGAGAGGAAUUCCUGGUGUAGAGGUGAAAUUCGUAGAUAUCAGGAGGAACACCGAUGGCGAAGGCAUCUCUCUGGACCGAUAUUGACGCUGA